UACGUAGGUGGCAAGCGUUAUCCGGAAUUAUUGGGCGUAAAGCGCGCGCAGGCGGUUUCUUAAGUCUGAUGUGAAAGCCCACGGCUCAACCGUGGAGGGUCAUUGGAAACUGGGAAACUUGAGUGCAGAAGAGAAGAGUGGAAUUCCACGUGUAGCGGUGAAAUGCGUAGAUAUCGAGAGGAACACCAGUGGCGAAGGCGAGUCCCUGGACACUUCCUGACACUGAGGCACGAAAGCUAGGGGAGCAAACGGG
rnacentral:rRNA from 1 species